GAUGAACGCUGGCGGCGUGCCUAAUACAUGCAAGUCGAGCGAACAGACGAGGAGCUUGCUCCUCUGACGUUAGCGGCGGACGGGUGAGUAACACGUGGAUAACCUACCUAUAAGACUGGGAUAACUUCGGGAAACCGGAGCUAAUACCGGAUAAUAUAUUGAACCGCAUGGUUCAAUAGUGAAAGACGGUUUUGCUGUCACUUAUAGAUGGAUCCGCGCCGCAUUAGCUAGUUGGUAAGGUAACGGCUUACCAAGGCAACGAUGCGUAGCCGACCUGAGAGGGUGAUCGGCCACACUGGAACUGAGACACGGUCCAGACUCCUACGGGAGGCAGCAGUAGGGAAUCUUCCGCAAUGGGCGAAAGCCUGACGGAGCAACGCCGCGUGAGUGAUGAGGGUCUUCGGAUCGUAAAACUCUGUUAUUAGGGAAGAAUAAAUGUGUAAGUAACUAUGCACGUCUUGACGGUACCUAAUCAGAAAGCCACGGCUAACUACGUG
rnacentral:rRNA from 1 species